CCUACGGGGGGCUGCAGUGGGGAAUCUUGGACAAUGGGCGAAAGCCUGAUCCAGCAAUGCCGCGUGCGUGAAGAAGGCCUUCGGGUUGUAAAGCGCUUUUGUCUGGGAGCAAAUCCUGGCCUCUAAUACAGGUCGGGGAUGAGAGUACCAGAAGAAUAAGGACCGGCUAACUACGUGCCAGCAGCCGCGGUAAUACGUAGGGUCCAAGCGUUAAUCGGAAUUACUGGGCGUAAAGCGUCCGCAGGUGGCUUGAUAAGAUAGACGUGAAAUCCCUG
rnacentral:rRNA from 1 species